rnacentral:tRNA from 1 species
GCCCCGUUAGCUCAGCUGGAAAGAGCAACCGCCUUCUAAGCGGUAGGUCAUUGGUUCAAGUCCAAUACGGGGUA